GGAUAACUCAGUCAGUAGAGCAUGAGACUCUUAAUCUUAGGAUUGUGGGUUCAAGCUCCAUAAUGGACA